rnacentral:tRNA from 1 species
GCGGGAGUAGCUCAGUUGGUAGAGCGUCAGCCUUCCAAGCUGAAUGUGGCGGGUUCGAGCCCCGUUUCCCGCUCCA